rnacentral:tmRNA from 1 species
CCCCUUGAUGAACGGCGCGCGCAAUCCUAUAUUCAGACCGUCCCGCAAGGGACUAUGGCGAUAAACGCGCCCGUAAUAAGCGGACCGGACCCGGGGGCGGUACCCGGCGGCUCCACCAAAAUCCUUCAUUUGGGGAUCAUGGGGCCGAAACAGGAUCGACGGACGUGUAAAGGGGUUAGCUUUCGCCCGGUGAGUUACCACCGUUAUCGGUACAUCUAAGCUAGUUGCAAAUGACAACAAAGCUCCGAUGGCCCUCGCUGCGUAAGCAGUGCGGUUCAUCGAAACCUUCAAGUCCAGCCCUCUAGCAAGGACUGGCGGGGUUCGCAGGCACCUGGCAACAGAAGCCUGCACU